rnacentral:rRNA from 1 species
UACGUAGGGGGCAAGCGUUGUCCGGAAUCAUUGGGCGUAAAGCGCGUGUAGGCGGCCAGAAAAGUCCGCUGUGAAAACUCGAGGCUCAACUUCGAGCUGUCGGUGGAAACUUUCUGGCUAGAGUCCGGAAGAGGAGAAUGGAAUUCCUGGUGUAGCGGUGAAAUGCGCAGAUAUCGGGAAGAACACCCGUGGCGAAGGCGGCUCUCUGGGACGGUACUGACGCUGAGACGCGAAAGCGUGGGGAGCGAACAGG